rnacentral:misc_RNA from 1 species
GAUGAAGAACGUAGCGAAAUGCGAUAAGUAAUGUGAAUUGCAGAAUUCAGUGAAUCAUCGAAUCUUUGAACGCACCUUGCGCCCUUUGGUCAUUCCGAAGGGCAUGCCUGUUUGAGUAUCAUGAACACCUCAACUCUUUAUGGUUUUCCAUGAUGAGCUUGGACUCUGGGGGUUUUGCUGGCUCACAGUCGGCUCCUCUAAAAUGAAUCAGCUUACCAGUGUUUGGUGGGUAUCAUGGGUGUGAUAACUAUCUACGCUUGUGGUUUUUCCACCAGGUAACCUUCAGCAGUGGAGGUUCGCUGGAGCUCAUAGAUGUCUCUCCUCAGUGAGGACAGCCCUUUGAAUGUUUGAUCUCAAAUCAGGUAGGACUACCCGCUGAACUUAAGCAUAUCAAUAAGCGGAGGA